rnacentral:rRNA from 1 species
GUGCUAAGGUAGCAUAAUCAUUUGUCUUUUAAAUGAAGACUAGAACAAACGAUUUAACAUUUCAAAAAAUUUCUUUAACUUUUUCAUAAAACUCUCUUAAAUGUAAAAAGACAUUUAUUAAAAAAAAAGACGACAAGACCCUAUUAAACUUAACUUAAGUUAAACUGGGGUAGUAAAUUAAUUAUUAUUUUAAUUUUUUUUAAAAAAAAAAAUAUCUUUUACCAUUAAAAAACCAAGUUACUAUAGGGAUAACAGCAUAAUUAUAUUUAAGAGAUCUCAUCUAAAAAAUAGAUUAUGACCUCGAUGUUGAAUUAAUAACCUAUAUUUAAGCAAUAUUACUAAAAGGAAGCCUGUUCGGCUUUUAAAAAAUUACAUGAUUUGAGUUCAAACCGGUGUAAGCCAGGUUGGUUUCUAUCUUUUACAAAAUUUUUUACAGUACGAAAGGACCUAUUAAUAUUAAUUAAUAAUAUAUUGGCAGAUCAAUGCAUUAGAAUUAGAAUCUAAAAAAACUACA